rfam:Acremonium chrysogenum ATCC 11550 scaffold185, whole genome shotgun sequence.
AUAUAUGACUAUAGCCCUUAGAGAACUCGGGAUCCCGUUUACUCUCCCCUAGAUAAGCUAAGGAGCGGCUAAUUAAUAGUUAGGUCGGUGACGACUAGCGAAUACUAGCUAUUAUAUAUC